CCUACGGGAGGCAGCAGUAAGGAAUAUUGGUCAAUGGACGAAAGUCUGAACCAGCCAUGCCGCGUGAAGGAUUAAGGCCCUCUGGGUUGUAAACUUCUUUUAUCUGGGACGAAAAAAGGGUAUUCUUACUCACUUGACGGUACCAGAGGAAUAAGCACCGGCUAACUCCGUGCCAGCAGCCGCGGUAAUACGGAGGGUGCAAGCGUUAUCCGGAUUUACUGGGUUUAAAGGGUGCGUAGGUGGGCUUGUAAGUCAGUGGUGAAAUCUCCGGGCUUAACCCCGGAAACUGCCAUUGAUACUAUAGGUCUUGAAUUAUCUGGAGGUAAGCGGAAUAUGUCAUGUAGCGGUGAAAUGCUUAGAUAUGACAUAGAACACCAAUUGCGAAGGCAGCUUACUACGGAUACAUUGACACUGAGGCACGAAAGCGUGGGAAUCAAACAGGAUUAGAUACCCUGGUAGUCCACGCCCUAAACGAUGGAUACUCGACAUCAGCGAUACACUGUUGGUUGUCUGAGCGAACGACAUUAAGUUAUACCCACCCUACGGAAGGUAACGACUACGCAAGAGUUAGUAACGUACGAAAGGAAAGUUAGUACGGCGUGAGACGUAGACCGACGGACGACGACGAGGGAGGAGGG
rnacentral:rRNA from 1 species